rnacentral:lncRNA from 13 species
GUCUCUGUGCAGGACAGAAAGGAUACAGCAGCACUCAGACACUGUCCCUGGUUGGUGGAGCUUAGAGUAAUGGAAAAGACAAACAUUCACUGAGAAUCUACUGGGUGGGAGUAUGAGUCAGCACUCUGUGCAGGAUGUUAGAAGGCAUCCUGGUUCCCCCUGUUCUGAUGACUGACACUGGAAACCUGAGAAGAGAAUGGGUUUAAGAUAUCUUUGGUGGGAUUUGGGGACAUGACUUGUGAUUAAUUAGAUAUAAACAUUAAGGAAAAGAGGAAGGAUUAAAGGAUUACUAGACUUGGCGGUUUAAAUAAGUUCGUUCAAUUCUCAAUUCAACAAGUGUUUGUUAAGUGCCUACUAAAUGCCAGGUAUUCUAAGUGUUGAGAGGAGAGUGCUGAGCAAGAAAAUGCAGGCUAGUGGGACUGGGAUGGGCUGGUGAGGAGAGGGGGCAGAUCAUCAAACAAUCGAUCAAUUAGUCAAUAAGUUGUUAAGGGAUAACUGCCAUUGCAAAACAUUAAAAUAGGCAGAUAUGAGAGAGAAGGACUGGGAGGCCACUUUGGAUUGGGUUAGGGAAGCUUGUCCGAGGAGAUAACAUUUACAUUUAAUUUUGAACAACAGGAAUCAGCCAACCAUGCAAAAUAGGAAAAAGAAUGUUAUAGGAAGAGCUACGAAUUGAUGAAACUCUUUGAGGCAGAAAUGAGCUCGGUGAGGUACAAGGUCAGCAUGACCCAUAAAGGUUCCUUUGCCUCUGAGAGGUACUGAGUCUAUAGAAACAUUCUGAAUGUGAAAACUGAGUUUUCAGGCUGUCAGUGGAACCAUGGGGCUGAGUCACGUCUGCCCACAGCUGCUGCUGUUUGCAUCCCUGGGCACUGAGGUCUGAAACUCCACCCUGGCAGGGACCAGCC